rnacentral:lncRNA from 1 species
GGUGUGAUGGCGUGGAUCGAUCAGAGCAAAGGGGGGAGAAGACAAACCCUAACUUCAUGAAAUUCUCAAGAAUUGAAAGAGAUUAGGAGCCCAAACUAAUGCAUGAACUCGAAACCUCAAUCAUCUAAGCUUGUACAACAAGCGGAACGUGUCAAGGAGAGGUCAAGCAUAGGAGGAUAACGGGUCAAGAUAAGGCAAGAUGACAAAUACACUUAUUGGAGUACUCGAGGUAUGGGGUCGUUGGCUUCAUGAAGAAAUGGAGCUGGAUUUGGAUAAGAGUAUUUAAGAAAGCGCUUGGACAAUUCCACGACUACUUUAUAGAAUGCUCUACGAAAUUUUAUUAUAUAGUUUAAUGUUGAAUGGUAUGUUGAUAACUAAUGGUUUGGUUGUACGUGGUGUCCACAGGUAUCGCUUGGGUUUUCUCUACUUUUAUUGAAGUGAAGCGGACUUAGUUCGAGUUGAGAGCAAGGAUUGUACGGGCUAGAAUGGUCACAUAGUGUAACUCAUAUAGGUUUUGAAGUAUUAAUGUUAUAAAACGUUAUAAAUCCGUUUUAAUGAAUAUAUGGCAUUUCGCAUUUGAACUUUCAUGUGUUUGAUAUGUCUAUUAAAGAACGAAAUUUUUGGGCUCUUGAUUUCCGCUGCGUCGUAUUUUAAGUUAUUACGCGUUAGUCUUACAGGGAAUUGCUCUUAUUACGAACGGGUCAUGCCCGAAUUUUGUUAAAUAAUAGUAUGAUAAUAUUACAUUUUGGAAUGUGUAAUUUGGGCGUAACAAGUUGGUAUCAGAGCCCUGGUUUGAGAGAAUUAAGUACGAGAGUAUAAGUACUUGAACUCAAACCUGUGUGCUCUUGUGAUAAGGAACCCGUACAAUCCAUGACUCGAUCAAGAUCUAAAGGUAGAAAUGGAACGAAAAUGUGUAAGUAUGUAUUAGAUUAUGUAUUUGAAAGAAACUAAUAGUGUGUUAUGUGCAAGGUAAGCUUAAGAUCUUGAAGAGGAUGAUCCGUGAAUACAGAAUGGGAUGAACGCUAAGGCGGGCAAAGGUGCAAAUAGGCAAAUUAACCCCAGGUACACAUUACUAAUAUGUAUGAGUACCGAUGUCAAAAGAAAAAGGAAGGGGUCUCCUUGGGAGGGAAAUUAUUAAACGAAAGACAAUGAUGUGGUCUUGGGGAAGUUUUAGAAAUGUGCACGAAACUGAAACCCAUUUCUCGGGCAUAAGGCGAUGAUUACACGAAGGCACGAAACUAGUGUGUGAAUUGCGCACCUGGCCAGUACGCAAGAAGCAUAUGACGUUCGUGAGACCGUGGCAAUUAUUGCAGGUAUGUCCGGUAGAACUGGGUAGCAGGUGGGCGCUAUGUUGUAGCGAAUCCGAAAUAGCAAAUCCAUUGCGGAUUUGGUUAUGCUAACGAAGGUUAUGAAAAGUUAUGCGAGUCGACCGGUUCUAGCGAACAAGUCGAAUAAGAAUAAGCUACCAUCCGUUUUGAACGGGUGAUUUUGAAUGCUCUAAUGAAUGCUAGAAGCUUAAUCCGUUAUACGGAUUGAAAGAAGAAGUUAUGAUUAAAUGUGAAAAACCCAAUUAUUUGGGUAGUGGAAAAUGUGUAUGCUUAACUCUCGUUGAGAGUGUUUAUGCCAAACCCAAUUAUUUGGGUAGUGGAAAAUGUGUAUGCUUAACUCUCGUUGAGAGUGUUUAUGCCAAACCCAAUUAUUUGGGUAGUGGAAUGUGUAUGCUUAACUCUCGUUGAGAGUGUUUAUGCCAAACCCAAUUAUUUGGGUAGUGGAAUGUGUAUGCUUAACUCUCCUUGAGAGUGUUUAUGCCGAAACCCAAUUAUUUGGGUAGUCGAAUGUGUAUGCUUAACUCUCUUUGAGAGUGUUUAUGCCAAACCCAAUUACUUGG